UACGGAGGGUGCAAGCGUUAUCCGGAUUCACUGGGUUUAAAGGGUGCGUAGGUGGGUUGGUAAGUCCGUGGUGAAAUCUCCGAGCUUAACUCGGAAACUGCCGUGGAUACUAUCAAUCUUGAAUACUGUGGAGGUAAGCGGAAUAUGUCAUGUAGCGGUGAAAUGCAUAGAUAUGACUUAGAACACCAAUUGCGAAGGCAGCUUGCUAAACAAAUAUUGACGCUGAGGCACGAAAGCGUGGGGAUCAAACAGG
rnacentral:rRNA from 1 species